rnacentral:lncRNA from 1 species
GUUAGCUAACCCCACCUCAAAUAAAUUAUCCCGGGUUAGCUAACUCCACCUAACCCCACCAAACUCCAACCAAACACUAUUUUAUAUUCAUAAUAACUCACUAUCUUUCUUAUCACACCUACUCCAACCAAUCAUUAUCCUUCUUUAUCAAUCAUUAUCUUCUUAUCCCACCUACUCCAACCCCACCUACUCCAACCAAUCAUUAUCCUUCUUUAUCAAUCAUUAUCUUCUUAUCCCACCUACUCCAACCAAACACUAUUUUUCAUUAUUCUAGACUAACUCCAACCCCCAACCAAACACAAAAAAACUUUAACCACACUUUAACCCUGAACUUAACCCUAUCCUUGGAAUAGCUACUUUUUCCUUAACCCCGAACCAAACGGAGGCUAAGUGAAAUAUUACAUAACUAGUAUAUUCUUCUUAGAAUUGUUAAAGAAAGACCGUUUACAAUUAGUGAUAAAUUACUUAC